rnacentral:misc_RNA from 1 species
GUCAUCUAGUGCAAGUGGGCCAGCCGUCGCCGGAUAAUAUCGGACGAUGCGGCUACCAGAGCAGGGCAGGCUACGGAGAUAUUUUUUACAUGAACUUAUCCACAGCGACGCCGGAACAGUACAGAGCGCUACUCUAUACCUUGCUUCGUUGCGUGUGCUCGCUCCUACCACUAGGUCUCUGCUGCUUGCGAUGGCCAUGGGCCCAUGGCCACGCCCAUGCUCCCCUCCGUCGUCCCUCACGCAAUGACCACGGCGACGGUGUCGCUGUCCGGGCGGCGGGCGCUCUGCUGGGCCACUCCCCUGCCGCCUGUGGCACUGGCACUGGCAGGCUUGGCGUCCAUGACGGGGCGGCGGCACGUCGGGCACGAGCCGCGGGACAGCAGCCAGGCGUCGACGCACGGGACGUGGAACGCGUGGCCGCACCGCGGCAGCACGCGCACCUUCUCGCCGUCCGCGAACUCGCCGAGGCAGAUGGCGCACACGUCCCCGCUCCCGGCCCCCUCCUCCUCGUCGUCUUUCGCAUCCCCGCCGACGUAAACCUCCACGGGGAUGCUCCGCAGCGCGCGCUUCUUGAUCCCGCCCCGGACGCCCGCGCAGGACGACGCGGCGACGCUCGGCGACGCCGCCACCUCGCCGCCCCCGGCCGCGGCCCGGCCUCCGCACCAGAGCGCGAACCUGGCCAGCGAGUUGAGCGCGAUGGCGAGCAGCAGCGCCAGGAACAGCGCCGCCAGCAGGAUCACCGUGUUGGUGUCGAAGGUCGCGUCGACGACCCCGGGCGCCGCCGCGCCCGCGCCUCCGACGCCGCCAGUGCCGUUCACGGCCGGCCCCGGCGCCUCGGAGGAGUCCCGGCGGUCCAUGUGCCACCAGCUCUCGCGCACGAAUGCUCGUUCCUUCCUGCCGUGCUCUGUCCGCGGCAGUAACUGCUAACUAGUCGCGAUGCACGUUUCGGGAGUGUUGCGCGGCGAGUGUGCUUGUAUAAAGGGGGCGAUCCGUUCCGUUCCGUUCCUCUCGGUGUUGUCGAAGGGCUUCAAGGGAUAGGCACUCGACCGACGUGUGGUGCCGCCCGCUCGCUUUUUGGUUGCUUUGUAGGCAAAGCUAGCUAGCAGGAGGACUGGAAGAUGAAGUAGAGAAUACUAUACCUUCCUUGCGUUGCGUGCUUAGGCAGGCGGACAAUGCAAUGCAAGCCCCGAAGAUUUGGAAGCUACCUAGCUCGCUAGUCGGCUCUGGUGCAUUUUGGAGCGGUGGAAAGGGCGUCUCGCGACCGUCGACGGCCGUCGGGUCUCCGUGAGCAGUUAGUUGGUCACUUGCCUGGUCGGACUCGGAGCGCAAAAGCGCACGCCUUGGCCUGCGGUGUUUAGCGAGCUGCCCGCGUCGCGUUGGCUGGGUACGCGGGGAUUUUUUUUAUUUAAUUGGCCGCGCCCGCUCGUGGCACACUGGCGACGGCACGAGACGUUCUUUCAGGGAUUCCUCCGAUCGGAGUGUGUCACCGAGCUCGCUUUUUAAAGCCUUUGGAGCGUUUGUUACUGGACGCCUUUUGCCUUAUGGAGGGUCUGGAUGUGACAUGUCGUGACAAAAUAAUGCAUUAUGUAUGCGAGUGCUAAAGCCUAAAGUAGAUAGCACGCGCCACUCUCUCAUGUUAGCUAGCUGCUACACGUUGUUUUGGCAAAAAAACAUUAAGCGCGCAUGACAUGAAGACGAUGUCGUAUCAUGUUGCCCCUCCACUCCCCCUGGUGCCGAAGGAGAGCACAGAGGAUGGAAUGGAAGGGAGAGUUGGUUAGGUUGUGCCUUGUGCGUGUGCUUCCCCUGCAAAUGAUACACUUAGUAGAUGCAUAUCCGAGAUUUGUUACCUCUACAUCCACCCCCACCUAACCAACAGAG